GCUUUGAAGAAUCUCCUCUGCUUGUCCAUGGCUUCGAUGGUAACUGCUCCUUCUCCGUCCCGGUCCGAUCCACCGCCGUCCUUUGCCGUGUUUGUUGUCGUCUUCGGAGCUUCUCCGCUGGAGCCUCCAAAGCCACCAGAUGACUCACCUCUUGCCAUAGUGCAACCCUCUACUGCAGUAUGCAGAUCUUUUACCUUUACUGCAAUAUGCAGUUCCGCUUUUGGUAUAUUCAGGGAUACAACUCCAUUUUCAGCUUAAUUGGCGUAAAGUUCAGAAGACUUCUCUACCAUAUUAGUUGCUAAUGUGUUAUGUAUGCCUACAUCUAUCUCUGUUUUUCUAUGUGCUCAGCUUUUGUUAUAGCUGUUUCUUUUACCAGUAUGGCUUUAUUGUCAAGUAUUGUGAACAUUUCUUCCUCCAAUGGAGAGUAAGAAUCUAUAAAAUGUUGUUUGAUCAAAAAAAAAAAAAAGUUAUCUCUUUCCUGUUGAAGCCACCUCAGCAUCCAGGUCAUAAAGUCGAGUUCCUACAGAUUGACACGUGUCCACUUAAAAGAAACCGUGUUUCAUUAAGUCGUAUAUGCUCAUUCGUGAUUUGGUCUUUUCGUUUAUGUUAUCUGUUGUUGUGUGUAUGGGCUGCGAAAGCAAUGGGCUACACUUAAUUUUACUAAAGGCCCGUAACCUGAAUAAGGUAAACCCUAAGCAACUCGCCAUGGUUUCCUUCUUGGUUGUUGUACGACGACUGCUCAUCUUCAUCAUCUCUACCACUGAAACGCUCCUGAUUAUUUCUUCUUUGUGUUAAUCUCUAUUAAUUCUUCAACCACGAUGUAGCCUUGAAUGCUUGCUUCGCUUUUUGGAGUCGAAGUCGGUGUAUCUGCUGAGUAUAAAUAGUCCUGACGUUGUUCUUCCACUUCCUUGCGGCUGCUCAGAUCUGUGAAGCCAGAAACAGGAGUUGACGGGAUCCUCCUUGAUGCUGAGUCAACACUCAUGCCAGUCAACGUGAAUGUCAACCGUCCUGCUCCACCGGCAUAAAGAAGGACAAAGGGUGUUGUUACGUCUCUUUCUCCAGGUGGACCAAUGAGCUUCAACGGACUGUCUCAGCCUUUACUUGCAAAACCUGCAACAAUGCUAAUGAUGGUGGUGUCCUCCGUCUAUGGAGCAUCAUCUCCCUGGCCUUCCUGCGACUCAAGUCACUAGGUUUGAUCAAACUGGCAAUGAUGACGAUGAUAUGCCUGGAAUGAACUCAGUCUCUGCUAAGGUGGACGUUGGCGGUAGUACUCUUGAGGGAGCGCCGACUACGUGAGCAGAUCCAAGUGAUCUCGACACUAAGAAGCCUCCGGCUCGAGCAUCUUUGAAGAUGGCAGAGGAAGCACGCAUGGCACAAGCGAAGAUAACGAGAGCUCUGAACGCAGUAUUUCCUAUUUGAAUAAUGCAAACAUAUCAAUGUUGCUUAACGAGUUUUUUUUUCUUCCGUUCCAUCCCUUUGG